GGAGUUUGGACCGUGUCUCAGUUCCAAUGUGGGGGACCUUCCUCUCAGAACCCCUACCGAUCGUUGCCUUGGUGGGCCGUUACCCCGCCAACAUAGCUAAUCGGACGCAUCCCCAUCCACCACCGAUGAAUCUUUACUCCUCGUCAGAUGUCCGCAAAGGAGACCAUCAGGGAUUAAUCCAGUUUUCACUGGGCUAUACCCGAGUGGCGGGCAGGUUGGAUACGCGUUACUCACCCGUGCGCCGGUCGCCGCCAGAAAUAGCAAGCUACUUCCGCGCUGCCCCUCGACUUGCAUGUGUUAGGCCUGUCGCUAGCGUUCAUC
rnacentral:rRNA from 1 species